rnacentral:tRNA from 1 species
ACCAAUUUAGUCGGUCAAGAUAUUUGGCUCUCAGCCAGAAGACCCUGGUUCGAAUCCCGGAAAUGGAA